UACGUAGGGCGCAAGCGUUAUCCGGAAUUAUUGGGCGUAAAGAGCUCGUAGGCGGUUUGUCGCGUCUGCUGUGAAAGACCGGGGCUCAACUCCGGUUCUGCAGUGGGUACGGGCAGACUAGAGUGCAGUAGGGGAGACUAGAACUGACGGUGGAGCGGUGAAAUGCGUAGAUAUCGUCAGGAAUGCCGGUGGUGAAGACGGGUGACUGGGCUGGUUCUGACACUGAGGCACGAAAGCGUGGGGAGCGAACGGG
rnacentral:rRNA from 1 species